rnacentral:rRNA from 1 species
UACGGAGGGUGCGAGCGUUGUUCGGAAUCACUGGGCGUAAAGAGCUCGUAGGCGGCUUGUUACGUCGGCUGUGAAAACCCGGGGCUCAACUCCGGGCCUGCAGUCGAUACGGGCUGGCUUGAGUGCGGUAGGGGAGACUGGAAUUCCUGGUGUAGCGGUGAAAUGCGCAGAUAUCAGGAGGAACACCGGUGGCGAAGGCGGGUCUCUGGGACGGAACUGACGCUAAGGCGCGAAAGCGUGGGGAGCAAACAGG